GACGAACGCUGGCGGCGUGCUUAACCCAUGCAAGUCGAGCGGAGCGGCGAACGGGUGAGUAACGCGUGAGUAACUGCCCCCCUCUCCGGGAUAACAGUUGGAAACGGCUGCUAAUACCGGAUAGUGUGGGAUGACUCGCGUCCUAUAAGCUUGUUGGUGGGGUAGUUGCCUACCAAGGCGACGACGGGUGGCCGGCCUGAGAGGGCGACCGGCCACAUUGGGCUGAGAGACGGCACAAACGGCUACGGGAGGCAGCAGUGGGGAAGAUUGCACAAGGGGGGAAACCGUGAUGCAGCAACGAUGCGUGCGGGAUGACGGCCUUCGGGUUGUAAACCGCUUUCAGCCAUGACGCGGUAGUGGCAGAAGAAGCACCGGCUAACUACGUGCCAGCAGCCGCGGUAAUUC
rnacentral:rRNA from 1 species